GGAUGAAGGCCCUAUGGGUUGUAAACUUCUUUUAUAUGGGAAGAAACCCCCCUACGUGUAGARGGCUGACGGUACCAUAAGAAUAAGCAUCGGCUAACUCCGUGCCAGCAGCCGCGGUAAUACGGAGGRUGCAAGCGUUAUCCGGAUUCAUUGGGUUUAAAGGGUGCGUAGGCGGRKAGGUAAGUCAGUGGUGAAAUCUCSCAGCUYAACUGUGAAACUGCCAUUGAUACUGUUAUUCUUGAAUAUAGUUGAGGUAGGYGGAAUGUGUCAUGUAGCGGUGAAAUGCUUAGAUAUGACACAGAACACCAAUUGCGAAGGCAGCUUACUAAACUAAUAUUGACGCUGAGGCACGAAAGCGUGGGGAKCAAACAGGAUUAGAUACCCUGGUAGUCCACGCCCUAAACUAUGAUUACUCGAYGUUGGCGAUACACUGUCAGUG
rnacentral:rRNA from 1 species